rnacentral:rRNA from 1 species
CCUACGGGUGGCAGCAGUAAGGAAUAUUGGUCAAUGGAGGAAACUCUGAACCAGCCAUCCCGCGUGAAGGAUGAAGGGGCUCUGCCUUGUAAACUUCUUUUGUCUGGGGCGAAAAAGCUCGAUUUAUCGAGAACUGACGGUACCAGAAGAAUAAGCACCGGCUAACUCCGUGCCAGCAGCCGCGGUCAUACGGAGGGUGCAAGCGUUAUCCGGAAUCAGGGGGUUUAAAGGCUUAGUAGGCCAGUGGGUAAAGGCUGUGGCUUAACCAUGGAAUUGCCAUUGAUACUGCAGAGCUUGAAUGAGGUGGAGGUUGGCGGAAUGUGACAUGUAGCGGUGAAAUGCUUAGAUAUGUCAUGGAACACCGAUUGCGAAGGCAGCUGACUGGACCUAUAUUGACGCUGAGGCACGAAAGCGUGGGGAGCGAACAGGAUUAGAUACCCCAGUAGUC